rnacentral:rRNA from 1 species
UACGGAGGGAGCUAGCGUUGUUCGGAAUUACUGGGCGUAAAGCGCGCGUAGGCGGCUUUGUAAGUUAGAGGUGAAAGCCCGGGGCUCAACCCCGGAACUGCCUUUAAGACUGCAUCGCUUGAAUCCGGGAGAGGUGAGUGGAAUUCCGAGUGUAGAGGUGAAAUUCGUAGAUAUUCGGAAGAACACCAGUGGCGAAGGCGGCUCACUGGCCCGGUACUGACGCUGAGGCGCGAAAGCGUGGGGAGCAAACAGG